CCUAAUUCAGCAUGGUACUGACAUUUGGCAAGAUGGAUACCGGAUGACAUGCUAUCUCGUUGCCCCAACUUAUUAUAUCCCAUCCCCUGCGCUUCUUCUACACAGUGCACUCGCACUCUCCUCAUUCAAUUUUCACGGAUAAACACACAAAUUAACAUAUAUUACGCUCUGACAAAAAACGUUGUUCAUCACUAAUUGUGACAAAACAUUUUCCUCCAUAGCUAACUAGCACCACCAAGCUCCAUUACUCUAUUAAUCCCACGCCAAUAAUCACAUUUCUUUCAUCAAUGACGCGAGAGUCGGCCCCUCCGUCCAUCCCCCGGCUAUCCUACUUAAAAGGAAAAUCAUUCUUAUCUCAAAACUCCUAUUGGUAAAAGAGUUUUUGCGGCUGAGUCAAAACUCAAGGAGCUCGAGGUUUUGGGUGUUCAGAUCUAGGCCAAAAGAAUCAACCCAAGCGACACUUUCCGGUCGAGCUUCGAUCUUUCGAAAGAUUCCAGUUCAUGGCUUCGUCCAGUUGUUUGAGUUUGAAAAUGCUGAAAUUUGUUUCGUCAGUGUAAAGAUCUUAAGGCGGACUUCGGCGGUUUAUUCCGAUGGCGGCGACAAUAACAUUGAGGUUCAUUUGGUGGUCAUCUUGGCGCGUAGGCGCAACUGCCGAGGAGAUUUGAUGAUGAGCUGCAUUCCAGACUACGUAUCGCAACCCACAGAGUCUCCAUCGUAUUAUUUACUUUACCCUGUCUAAUUUAUAUUCCAGACAGAUAUUGUAUUAU